AUACGGAGGAUCCGAGCGUUAUCCGGAUUUAUUGGGUUUAAAGGGUGCGCAGGCGGGAGAUUAAGUCGGCGGUGAAAUUUUGCAGCUCAACUGUAAAAGUGCCUUCGAAACUGGUUUCCUUGAGUGUAGAUGAAGUAGGCGGAAUUUGUGGUGUAGCGGUGAAAUGCAUAGAUAUCACGAGGAACUCCGAUUGCGCUGGCAGCUUACUAAACUACUACUGACGCUCAGGCACGAAGGCGUGGGGAUCAAACAGGAUUAGAUACCCUGGUAGUCCACGCAGUAAACGAUGAUUACUAGCUGUUUGCGAUACAAUGUAAGCGGCUGAGCGAAAGCGUUAAGUAAUCCACCUGGGGAGUACGUUCGCAAGAAUGAAACUCAAAUGAAUUGACGGGG
rnacentral:rRNA from 1 species